rnacentral:RNase_P_RNA from 1 species
CUAGUAAAUCGCCUUAUCGAUUCUAAUUUAUUAGGGUAGGAAAGUCCGAACACCAUAGUGCAAGCAUAGUGGUUAACAGCCACCAGCCGAGAGGUUAGGAAAAGUGCAACAGAAAGUAUGUACAGGUAAUGCUGUAGUGAAAUCAGGUAAACUCUAUGCGGUGCAAUGUCAUGUAUACCAACGUUUGAGGGCUGCACGUUCGAUGUUGGAGGGUAGGCAGCUAAAGUUUGCUGGCAACAGUAAACGCAGAUAAAUGAUAAGGGUUGAGACAGUUAAUGUCUUGAUACAGAAUUCGGCUUAUAGGUUUGCUUAUUAA